UGCUGCUUUCACAGGUCCGGC
rnacentral:miRNA from 1 species